GCUAAUUCAGAUGGGAGAAGCUGAAAUUUUCUGCUCCGGUCCCGGUCUCGCGAAGUGACCCUCGCUUCGCGGUCCGAGACUUUUCUAGUUCUUCUGCUCGGGUCCCGGUCUCGCGAAGUUAACCUCGCUUCGUUGUCCGGGACCCGGGCACCAAACUUAUACUUCAUCUAAAUUCUUCCUUUUUUUACUUCACUUUGCAUGAAAACUUUCCAAAUCACUUCCAAUUGACUCCUACACAUAUAAAUAAUAUUAUUAAGCUCGAGUCACAAAUAUUCACACAAAAAUUAACAAGAUCGAGGUAUAAUGCAAGGCAAAUUACAUGCAAAAACAUGAAUUUUUAGCCAAACAUCAGAAUAACCAUGGAUCAUGAAUCGAUUUCUUCAUUCCCUCCAACGAAAAUAUUUUCGUGAUCUCAAUUUCUACCGUUAUAAAGACCAAAUGUCAUUGUAAUGUAACAUACAAUAGGAGCUCUAUAAUAAACUCUCAUGUUUAUGAUUUUCUCAAGGAAAAUUUUAGGAUGACAUCUACAAAAAGAAUGCCAGCACUCAACUUAAUUUAAUAUACACAGACAUAAUAGAAAACAUGUACCAGUGCAAACUUCAGACAUUUGGGUCUGUAAUU
rnacentral:lncRNA from 1 species